rnacentral:rRNA from 1 species
GACGAACGCUGGCGGCGCGCUUAACACAUGCAAGUCGAACGGAAAGGCCUGCUUUCCCUUGUGGAUUGCGGGUACUCGAGUGGCGAACGGGUGAGUAACACGUGAGUGAUCUGCCCCCAACUUGGGUAUAAGCCUGGGAAACUGGGACUAAUUACCGAUAGUACUGCAGGGUGGUGCCUGUGGUGGAAAACGAUUUUCUAGUGGUUGGGGAUGAGCUCGCGGCCUAUCAGCUUGGUGGAGGGGUAAUGGCCUACCAAGGCGGCGACGGGUAGCCGGCCUGAGAGCGGGGACAGUGGAACUGGGACUGGGACACGGCCCCGACGCGUAGCAGAAGUAGCAGUGAGGAGAAUAGCGCAGUGAGCCGGAGCCAGACGCAGCGAGGCGGCGAAGGAGAUGACGGGGUUCGGGUGGUAAACUCCUUUCGACGGAGAGGAAGCCACCUGGUUGGAAGGGUGGUGACGGUAGUGGAAGAAGAAGCACCGGCUAACUACGUG